CAUGCAAUUAAUCUGGAAAUUUUUGUGGGUGUUUCUUAUGAUAGUAAGUAAUUUAUAAAAAUAUGAAUCUGUUGUUUGACACUUGGUCAACAGUAGGGUAUUUAUACUUAAUUAUAUUGAGUAAUCUUGUAAUUUUUGUAGGCCAAACUAAGUGCCCAAAUAUUAUGAAAAAUUUGUGGUAGACUUCAUGAUUGAUCAGUGACCUACUGUAAUUUUUGUGGGAUUUAUUGAUGACCAGAAGUAUAUGUUACUGUUGUAGGCCCAAUAAUAAUUAAAUAAAUUAUACCCUGUUGUGCAUGAGAUAAAUGGAUUAAAGGGUGUUUGGUGUAUCUUUGAAGCAUCAUGAUAGCUUGCUGGUUAACCAUGAAAAUAACUUAUAGAAGAGAAUGCAAUAGAUGCUUAUUUUGUUUGCAAGUCCUUGGAUGAUGUUGACUACCUUGAAGAAAUAAUCACCUAGGUCAUCUAUGCACCAUGUCAUGGUCAUCUGUUAUCCACUUGCAUAAGCAUUGCACCCCGGGCAUGUCGCACUCCACUCAUGAGCACACAUGCAUCAUACAGGCUCGCAGGAGAACGAGGUGGGACCCGAGUAGCAGGAGGAGACCCAGGACCAGGAACUUCUAGGAGGACCAGAGCCGGAAGGAGAGCUGCAGGAGUGCCCGGACCACAGGCCUAGCAUAUUUGAGAAAGGCAAGCCCCGGAGCAUUGUAAGUCUCCCUAUUCUCGCUAACUUAGUCCCUAUUCUCGCUAACUUAGUUGUUAUAUCAUGGUUGUUCUACUAUGCUGCAUUUAUCUCUACUAUAAUGGACCAAUCAAAACAAUACUAUAUCCACCCAAGGUUGUGUCCCCUACUGAGAGAGUCCAACCAUAUUGCACCUAGAAAAUUGUACACAAGAAAUCACUUCUAUUAAAAUCAAUGGCUAAAACCCACACCUCACAGGGCUUCAUCACAAUCCUACGGCCACGAUUGAUUGUAUCAACAACGACGAGGCUUCAACGCACACGCCGCACAGGCUUCAUCGUGGUCAAACCAAAAGGAGCCGCGUUCGAUACCUAGGAGCGCCGAAAAAAAAAACACCGUAGCCAUCCAUCUACGAAGAAAAAAAAUCUACGAACCAAAAAAAAUACCGAGGACACUGGCCGCUAAACAUGGCGAUACCACGAUCUCCCACGAUCUUUGCACGCAGGCCACAUACUCCGUGCCCUCGACUUCCUCGGCUGCUGCCUCCGUUGCCGGUCAUCCCCGACGUAGCCAUAAUCGCGCCGUAGCCACGUCGCAGCCACCAGGCCUCUAGCGAGCAUUGACUCCGCCGUGCUGGCCGGAAUCAUGUCCAGAGCCACAUCACAGGCACUGUGACGAUCGCAACCCAAAGCCUAUACGCCCGCGAUUGCGGCGUCGGGGCCACCGGGCCUCUAGCGAGCACUGCCUCCGCUGCGCCAUCGGGAAUCGUGUCUAGAGCCACAUCGCAGGCACCAUGACGAUCACAGCCAAGCCCCGCGCCCGCGAUUGUGGCGUCCUCGGCGGCAGCGAUGUCAGCACUCGAUCCCGACUUCAAACUGGGUCUAGAGCGAGCACAACC
rnacentral:lncRNA from 1 species